AUUGAACGCUGGCGGAAUGCUUUACACAUGCAAGUCGAACGGCAGCACGGACUUCGGUCUGGUGGCGAGUGGCGAACGGGUGAGUAAUACAUCGGAACGUGCCCAGUCGUGGGGGAUAACGUAGCGAAAGCUACGCUAAUACCGCAUACGAUCUAAGGAUGAAAGCGGGGGAUCGCAAGACCUCGCGCGAUUGGAGCGGCCGGUGGCAGAUUAGGUAGUUGGUGGGGUAAAGGCCUACCAAGCCGACGAUCUGUAGCUGGUCUGAGAGGAUGAUCAGCCACACUGGAACGGAGACACGGCCCAGACUCCUACGGGAGGCAGCAGUGGGGAAUUUUGGACAAUGGGCGCAAGCCUGAUCCAGCCAUUCCGCGUGCAGGAUGAAGGCCUUCGGGUUGUAAACUGCUUUUGUACGGAACGAAAAGGCUCUGGUUAAUACCCGGGGCUCAUGACGGUACCGUAAGAAUAAGCACCGGCUAACUACGUGCCAGCAGCCGCAGUAAUAC
rnacentral:rRNA from 1 species